CGGGGUGCACCAGGCGCGAAAACUUUACAAUGCUGGCAACAGCGAUAAGGGGACCUCGAGUGCCAGGUUACAAAUCUGGCUGUCGUGAUGCCUAAAAAGCAUUGCAUAGCAAGGGCCGGGCAAGACCGGUGCCAGCCGCCGCGGUAACACCGGCGGCUCGAGUGGUAACCGUUAUUAUUGGGUCUAAAGGGUCUGUAGCCGGCCGGAUAAGUCUCUUGGGAAAUCCAGCAGCUCAACUGUUGGGCUUUCAGGAGAUACUGUCUGGCUCGAGGCCGGGAGAGGUGAGAGGUACUUCAGGGGUAGGGGUGAAAUCUUGUAAUCCUUGAAGGACCACCAGUGGCGAAGGCGUCUCACCAGAACGGACCUGACGGCAAGGGACGAAAGCUAGGGGCACGAACCGGAUUAGAUACCCGGGUAGUCCUAGCCGUAAACGAUACUCGCUAGGUGUCGGCCACGGUGCGACCGUUGUCGGUGCCGUAGGGAAGCCGUGAAGCGAGCCACCUGGGAAGUACGGCCGCAAGGCUGAAACUUAAAGGAAUUGGCGGGGGAGCACAAGGGCGAUUCGCG
rnacentral:rRNA from 1 species